GAUGAACGCUGGCGGCGUGCUUAACACAUGCAAGUCGAACGGACAGGCACGGCUCUUGCGGGGUUGACGAGUGCGGAACGCGUGUGUAUCACGUGAGUAUCACCUCCUUGUAAGUGGGAGAAAUCCUGGGAAAAGGGGCUAAUACAGGGUAGAAGAUCUUGAUCCACAGUGUGCAUUGGAGAGUGUCGGCGGUUGUGGAUGGACUCGCGGCUUAUCAGCUGGUUGGUGGGGUAGUGGCUUACCAAGGCUUUGACGGGUAGCCGGCCUGAGAGGGUGACCGGCCACAUUGGGACUGAGAUACGGCCCAGACUCCUACGGGAGGCAGCAGUGGGGAAUAUUGCACAAUGGGCGGAAGCCUGAUGCAGCAACGCCGCGUGCGGGAUGACGGCCUUCGGGUUGUAAACCGCUUUCGCCUGUGACGAAGCGUGAGUGACGGUAAUGGGUAAAGAAGCACCGGCUAACUACGUG
rnacentral:rRNA from 1 species